GCAUUGCAGUUGUGGCCUCAAGAAACAGACGUUUAAGUUCGUCCUGGGGAAGAGUCUAGAUUGAAUGUCACAGUGAUUGAAUGACACAGUGACAGGACAUUCUACAAAGGACCACAGGUGUGUGCCACGACAGCUUCUCCCAACUGCUAGGACUGCAGGUGUGUGCCACGACAGCUUCUCCCAACUGCUAGGACCACAGGUGUGUGCCACGACAGCUUCUCCCAACUACUAGGACUACAGUUGCAGGAUUCUUCAUCUCCUUCCAUGAUGCUGAGUUCUGCUGGUUGGAGGCCAGGAGUGCCAACAACAACUAUUGGGUUUCCUCCUACUACUGAAGUGAAGGGCACAGAAAGACAAUGACAAGUCGCCGGGAUGACAGAUUCAGAUUACUAAAGGGAAAUCAGGUUGCUAGUACAUAGUAGUGCUUAGAAAGUCUAUGCUGAAACUCAAAGACAACUUGUGCUAUUAAAGAAUUCAUGUGUUCACCUAUAAA